CGUGGGUAACCUGCCCAAGAGAUCGGGAUAACACCUGGAAACAGAUGCUAAUACCGGAUAACAACAUAUGAUGCCUAUCAACUGUUUAAAAGAUGGUUCUGCUAUCACUCUUGGAUGGACCUGCGGUGCAUUAGCUAGUUGGUAGGGUAACGGCCUACCAAGGCGAUGAUGCAUAGCCGAGUUGAGAGACUGAUCGGCCACAUUGGGACUGAGACACGGCCCAAACUCCUACGGGAGGCAGCAGGG
rnacentral:rRNA from 1 species